rnacentral:misc_RNA from 1 species
UAAUGGAAGACUUCAUUGGGUUAGUCGACCCCGGAGAUAUAACCCUGCUCGGCGGCUAGUUUCACUUGACUUGGCUGAUGAGCAAUUCAGGGAAGUCCCGAAGCCAGACUGCGGUGGCCUGAGUAAAUGCAACUAUCAUCUUGUUGUGCUGAAAGGGUGCCUUUCUGCUGCUGUGUAUUGCAGCUACGGAAGAUUGGAGAUUUGGGUGAUGAAGGAGUAUAAUGUGAAGGAAUCUUGGGUAAAAGAAUACAGUAUUGGAGCUUAUAUGCCAAAGGGAUUGAAGCAAAAUCUUGACAGGCCUUCCAAGAUUUGGAAGAAUGCUUUGAAUGGAAUAGUUGUUAGAGUUUUAGGCCUUUUGCAGAAUGGUGAGGUUUUGUUGGAGUACAAAAGCAGAGU